rnacentral:misc_RNA from 1 species
GAUGAAGAACGUAGCGAAAUGCGAUAAGUAAUGUGAAUUGCAGAAUUCAGUGAAUCAUCGAAUCUUUGAACGCACAUUGCGCCCGCCAGUAUUCUGGCGGGCAUGCCUGUCUGAGCGUCAUUUCAACCCUCAAGCAACUUCUGCUUGGUGUUGGGGAUCGGCCGUUAAACGCCGCCCCCGAAAUCUAUUGGCGAUCUCGCUGUAGCUUCCUAUGCGUAGUAGUAACAUCUCGCAUCUGGAGAGCGGCGCGGUCAUGCCGUAAAACACCCAACUUCUCAGGUUGACCUCAGAUCGGGUAGGAAUACCCGCUGAACUUAAGCAUAUCAAUAAGCGGAGGA